CCGUGCAAAGGUAGCAUAAUCACUUGUCUCUUAAAUAGGGACCUGUAUGAACGGCAUCACGAGGAUUUUACUGUCUCCCCCUACCAAUCAGUGAAACUAAUCCCCCUGUGAAAAAGCAGGAGUAUAUAUACAAGACGAGAAGACCCUAUGGAGCUUAAAAUUAAUAACACUUACUACUUCCCUUUAAACAUAAUCACUUAGUAUCGUGCUUAUACAUUUUCGGUUGGGGUGACCCCGGAGUAAAGCCUAACCUCCACGCUGUAUAUUUAAGAACCCCUAUUCUAUCAAUCAAUAAAUUGACAUAUUGACCCAAAAACUUGAUCAACGAACUAAGUUACCCUAGGGAUAACAGCGCCAUCCACUUCAAGAGUACAUAUCAACAAGUGGGCUUACGACCUCGAUG
rnacentral:rRNA from 1 species